UACGAUCGGUGUGCGAACGGGAAUGCGUUCCAGUACCACCUCGGAGUCAGCGUCGGGUUGUUGUUGUUGUUGAUGUUGUUGAUCCGCAGGAAUACGCCAAUACUUGUCGGGUUCGUAAAAAGGAGCGGAAUGGGACAGGU
rnacentral:SRP_RNA from 18 species